rnacentral:lncRNA from 1 species
CAUCGACAGAGGAUCAAAGGUACAGACCUCCUCGCCGCGAUCGUCAUAUCUCACCAGUUACGUAACCGUAAUUAACAAUAGAUAAGCUGUAAUCGGUAACCGCGCAUGCGCCAGUAUCUGUCAACAACCAAGCCACAACAAAUCACUCGGGGCAACAAGAAGCCAAGUUACAACUUUCGAGAUCGUGCUGAAAAUAUGGAUGACAUGACUGAUGCUAUCGACUUUUAUAAAUUAUAAGAUGAGUUAGAGGAUGAAAUUCUCAAAGAAUUGGAGGCAGCAAAUGAAUUAGAAGACCAAGAAAAUGACGUUGAUAGACCGGCAAAUAAAUUUUCUGAAGAUGAUGCCAUCAAAGGGAUGAAGGGCUACAUUCAAUCGGCUUUGACGUCACUGAUGAAGUAGUUGACAAGUUCACUGCUAUGGUAACUACAAACCAUCUUGAUGUUUUGCUGAACAACAUUGUUGAUAAAGUAAUUGUACAAACAUAUUGGUGCAGAAUAACAAGGGCUACUCUUUGUGACGCUGCAUCGAAGCAACUACUUGAUAUUGUAGUGAAGUACUGGAUUAAUUAAAAAUUAGAGCCAAUGCUUUUUUGAAAGUAUAUCUGAAUGUAAAGAGGGAAAGUGGUAAGAUUUCAAAAAAGGGAGAAAAAUCUCUAAGGAAGGAGCUGCAAUAAUAUGCCAUAUCUGGGUUUUGUAUAAUAAUGAAUACAUUAUUUUUGGAAAUAAAUAUGCAGGUGAUGUUUUACAGUA